rnacentral:rRNA from 1 species
GACAGAAGGUGCUAGCGUUACUCGGAAUUACUGGGCGUAAAGCGUCCGCAGGCUCUUUCACAAGUCUGGCGUAAAAGCACGGAGCUCAACUCCGUGUACGUGCCGGAAACUGUGAGAGUAGAGUCAUACAGAGGCAUCUGGAAUGUCGUGUGUAGGGGUAAAAUCCGUUGAUCCACGAUGGAACGCCGAAAGCGAAAGCAGGGUGCUUGGUAUGUACUGACGCUCAGGGACGAAAGCGUGGGGAGCAAACGGG